GACGAACGCUGGCGGCGUGCCUAAUACAUGCAAGUAGAACGCUGAAGGAAGGAGCUUGCUCUUUCCGGAUGAGUUGCGAACGGGUGAGUAACGCGUAGGUAACCUGCCUGGUAGCGGGGGAUAACUAUUGGAAACGAUAGCUAAUACCGCAUAACAGUAGAUAUCGCAUGAUAGCUGCUUGAAAGGUGCAAAUGCAUCACUACCAGAUGGACCUGCGUUGUAUUAGCUAGUUGGUGAGGUAACGGCUCACCAAGGCAACGAUACAUAGCCGACCUGAGAGGGUGAUCGGCCACACUGGGACUGAGACACGGCCCAGACUCCUACGGGAGGCAGCAGUAGGGAAUCUUCGGCAAUGGACGGAAGUCUGACCGAGCAACGCCGCGUGAGUGAAGAAGGUUUUCGGAUCGUAAAGCUCUGUUGUAAGAGAAGAACGAGUGUGAGAGUGGAAAGUUCACACUGUGACGGUAUCUUACCAGAAAGGGACGGCUAACUACGUGCCAGCAGCCGCGGUAAUACGUAGGUCCCGAGCGUUGUCCGGAUUUAUUGGGCGUAAAGCGAGCGCAGGCGGUUAGAUAAGUCUGAAGUUAAAGGCUGUGGCUUAACCAUAGUACGCUUUGGAAACUGUUUAACUUGAGUGCAAGAGGGGAGAGUGGAAUUCCAUGUGUAGCGGUGAAAUGCGUAGAUAUAUGGAGGAACACCGGUGGCGAAAGCGGCUCUCUGGCUUGUAACUGACGCUGAGGCUCGAAAGCGUGGGGAGCAAACAGG
rnacentral:rRNA from 1 species